rnacentral:rRNA from 1 species
AUUGAACGCUAGCGGGAUGCCUUACACAUGCAAGUCGAACGGAGUGGCGAUCGGGUGCGUAAUGUAUCGGACCGUGCCCAGUAGUGGGGGAUAACUACGCGUAAUCGUAGCUAAUACUGCUCACUCUUGGAGCCGCCGAUAUCGGAAUAGCUUGUUGGCGGGGUAACGGCGCCCCAAGGCGACGAUCCGUAGCCGGUUUGAGAGGACGACCAGCCACACUGGAACUGAGACACGGUCCAGACGCCUACGGGAGGCAGCAGUGGGGAAUUUUGGACAAUGGGGGAAACCCUGAUGCAGCCAUCCCGCGUGUACGAUGAAGGCCUGCGGGUUGUAAAGCACUUUUGGCAGGAAAGCGGUACCUGCAGAAUAAGCACCGGCUAACUACGUGCCAGCAGCCGCGGUAAUAC